rnacentral:rRNA from 1 species
GUGUCAGCCGCCGCGGUAAGACGAACCACACGAACGUUAUUCGGAAUCACUGGGCUUAAAGGGUGCGUAGGCUGCGCAGUAAGUUGGGUGUGAAAUACCUCGGCUCAACCGAGGAACUGCGCCCAAAACUACUGUGCUCGAGGGAGACAGAGGUGAGCGGAACUUAGGGUGGAGCGGUGAAACGCGUUGAGAUCGGAAGGAACGCCCGUGGCGAAAGCGAGGUCCUGGACGUUUUCUGACACUGAGACGCGAAAGCCAGGGGAGCGAACGGGAUUAGAUACCCGGGUAGUCC